AACGAACGCUGGCGGCAGGCCUAACACAUGCAAGUCGAACGCCCUAGCAAUAGGGAGUGGCAGACGGGUGAGUAACACGUGGGAACCUUCCCUAUAGUACGGAAUAUACCAGGGAAACUUGGAGCAAUACCGUAUACGCCCGAGAGGGGAAAGAUUUAUCGCUAUAGGAUGGGCCCGCGUAGGAUUAGCUAGUUGGUGAGGUAAUGGCUCACCAAGGCGACGAUCCUUAGCUGGUUUGAGAGAACGACCAGCCACACUGGGACUGAGACACGGCCCAGACUCCUAGGGAGCAGCAGGUGGGGAAUAUUGGACGAAUGGGCGCAAGCCUGAUCCAGCCAUGGCCGCGUGAGUGAUGAAGGCCUUAGGGUUGUAAAGCUCUUUUGCC
rnacentral:rRNA from 1 species